rnacentral:lncRNA from 1 species
GAGGUGAUUAAGCAAUGUUUCAAAAAGAUCGACCAGGCAGUCCAAUGACAGGUGCCUGGGAAAGGCAAGUGAUGGGAUUUAUGGAGCCCAGGAAGAAGGCCACACUGGUCACCAGGUGUGGAGUGACAGGGGCCUGGAUUCAGGUGGUGGCAGUGGGCGUGGAAAUGAGGGAUAAAUGAAGAGCCAUUUAGAAGGAAAAAUCAAGAGGAUAUGGCAACUGACUCAUAAUAAUAACUAACACUUACUCAUUUCCACAAAUAUUACUUAAGUGCCUUCUUUGCACCAGGCAUACUUCCAGGCCCUGGGUAUAUAGCAACGAACGUGACAGACAAGGCUGCGUCCCUCAUGGAAUUCACAUGCCAACGGAAGAGAAAUAUAAUAAAUAAAUACACAAUAAAUAGAUAUACAAUAAACAAAGAAAUGAAAUGUAACUUCAGAUCACCACUUGACGCAAGCUGACGAUGGCGGAACAAGAGGAGAAGCAGGGAGACCACUUAGGAGGUCAUUACAACAAUCCAGGUGGACGAUGCUGGUAGCUUGGACUAGUGGCAAAGGUGAUGAGAAGCAGUAGGAUUUGGGAGGCGUUUUGAAGGUAGAAUGAACAGGACUUGGUGAUGGGCUGUACGGAGUAUAUGGAGUCAAGAAUGAGAGAAAUCAAGAAGGCAUCAGAUUCCAGAAAACCUAUAUUGGGUGUCUGCCUGGACCUCUUGGAACAGCCCCACUUGGAGCCCUGAGCUGCCACAUAUGAAAUCUGACUGCUCUGACAUUGCCAUGCUGGACAGCCACGUACAGGCACU